CGAGAAUCUUCGGCAAUGGGCGAAAGCCUGACCGAGCGACGCCGCGUGCGGGAUGAAGGCCCUCGGGUUGUAAACCGCUGUCAGUGGGGAGGAAGGCUCUGUGAAGAGCAGGGUUUGACCUAUCCGCAGAGGAAGUCCGGGCUAAGUUCGUGCCAGCAGCCGCGGUAACACGAACCGGACAAACGUUAUUCGGAAUCACUGGGCUUAAAGGGUGCGUAGGCGGCCUGACAAGUUGGGUGUGAAAUCCCUCGGCUCAACCGAGGAAUUGCGCUCAAAACUGAUGGGCUCGAGGGAGUUAGAGGUAAGCGGAACUUAGGGUGGAGCGGUGAAAUGCGUUGAUAUCCUAAGGAACACCAGUGGCGAAAGCGGCUUACUGGAGCUCUUCUGACGCUGAGGCACGAAAGCUAGGGGAGCGAACGG
rnacentral:rRNA from 1 species